rnacentral:rRNA from 1 species
GACGAACUGUCCUAACGUUGUUCGGAAUCACUGGGCUUAAAGGGCGCGUAGGCGGUCGACCAAGUCAGGGGUGAAAUCCUGCAGCUUAACUGUAGAAGUACCUUUGAUACUGGUCGUCUCGAGGGAGGUAGGGGUGUGUGGAACUUCCAGUGGAGCGGUGAAAUGCGUUGAUAUCGUUAGGAACUCCGGUGGCGAAGGCGGCACGCUGGACCCUCACUGACGCUGAGGCGCGAAAGCCAGGGGAGCGAACGGG